UUUAUGGAGAGUUUGAUCCUGGCUCAGGAUGAACGCUGGCGGCGUGCCUAAUACAUGCAAGUCGAGCGAACGGACGAGAAGCUUGCUUCUCUGAUGUUAGCGGCGGACGGGUGAGUAACACGUGGAUAACCUACCUAUAAGACUGGGAUAACUUCGGGAAACCGGAGCUAAUACCGGAUAAUAUUUUGAACCGCAUGGUUCAAAAGUAAAAGACGGUCUUGCUGUCACUUAUAGAUGGAUCCGCGCUGCAUUAGCUAGUUGGUAAGGUAACGGCUUACCAAGGCAACGAUGCAUAGCCGACCUGAGAGGGUGAUCGGCCACACUGGAACUGAGACACGGUCCAGACUCCUACGGGAGGCAGCAGUAGGGAAUCUUUCGCAAUGGGCGAAAGCCUGACGGAGCAACGCCGCGUGAGUGAUGAAGGUCUUCGGAUCGUAAAACUCUGUUAUUAGGGAAGAACAUAUGUGUAAGUAACUGUGCACAUCUUGACGGUACCUAAUCAGAAAGCCACGGCUAACUACGUGCCAGCAGCCGCGGUAAUACGUAGGUGGCAAGCGUUAUCCGGAAUUAUUGGGCGUAAAGCGCGCGUAGGCGGUUUUUUAAGUCUGAUGUGAAAGCCCACGGCUCAACCGUGGAGGGUCAUUGGAAACUGGAAAACUUGAGUGCAGAAGAGGAAAGUGGAAUUCCAUGUGUAGCGGUGAAAUGCGCAGAGAUAUGGAGGAACACCAGUGGCGAAGGCGACUUUCUGGUCUGUAACUGACGCUGAUGUGCGAAAGCGUGGGGAUCAAACAGGAUUAGAUACCCUGGUAGUCCACGCCGUAAACGAUGAGUGCUAAGUGUUAGGGGGUUUCCGCCCCUUAGUGCUGCAGCUAACGCAUUAAGCACUCCGCCUGGGGAGUACGACCGCAAGGUUGAAACUCAAAGGAAUUGACGGGGACCCGCACAAGCGGUGGAGCAUGUGGUUUAAUUCGAAGCAACGCGAAGAACCUUACCAAAUCUUGACAUCCUUUGACAACUCUAGAGAUAGAGCCUUCCCCUUCGGGGGACAAAGUGACAGGUGGUGCAUGGUUGUCGUCAGCUCGUGUCGUGAGAUGUUGGGUUAAGUCCCGCAACGAGCGCAACCCUUAAGCUUAGUUGCCAUCAUUAAGUUGGGCACUCUAAGUUGACUGCCGGUGACAAACCGGAGGAAGGUGGGGAUGACGUCAAAUCAUCAUGCCCCUUAUGAUUUGGGCUACACACGUGCUACAAUGGACAAUACAAAGGGCAGCGAAACCGCGAGGUCAAGCAAAUCCCAUAAAGUUGUUCUCAGUUCGGAUUGUAGUCUGCAACUCGACUACAUGAAGCUGGAAUCGCUAGUAAUCGUAGAUCAGCAUGCUACGGUGAAUACGUUCCCGGGUCUUGUACACACCGCCCGUCACACCACGAGAGUUUGUAACACCCGAAGCCGGUGGAGUAACCUUUUAGGAGCUAGCCGUCGAAGGUGGGACAAAUGAUUGGGGUGAAGUCGUAACAAGGUAGCCGUAUCGGAAGGUGCGGCUGGAUCACCUCCUUUCU
rnacentral:rRNA from 1 species